UUGAAAAGGGCAGUCUGGGGUGGCCUGGAGUGGCCACUGUCACACACACAAAAAAGAAUACUCAUCAGGCUGUCUAGACAUACCAAGAAAACAGGGACCUCAAUAGUGGAAAAGAGAAAUGCACCCAUUUUGGAAGUUUGAUUUUUUGGUCAGCCGGUGAAAUAUUCUUUGUCUUCACUCUUUCUUUGGCCACUGACUCAAUCCUUGCCACAAGUUUAAGGGAGGAAUACUGCACAUGCUAACUGAAAGCACAUAUUUUGCUGGAAAAGUCACUCUAUUUUUUAAAAUCUCAUGAAACAGUCAACAUGAUAUAUGUUUUUUCUCAAAAGAAAGACUCCUAAUUCCUUCCCAUGAAAACCACAUUUUAGUAGCAGCCUAGUUGAAUUUGAGGCUAUGCAAAUUUCUGGUUCUCCUUAAACUUUUGUCCUCUAACAUUAGCAUUCAUCAAUGGACUGCACCUACAGUAGCUAUUACUGCGGUGUCCUCAUGGUCACUGUCUACUUCCCGUACAUUUGUUACAAGCAGUGAACCUACACUAACACAUAAUUAUCACUCAAAGUCCAUAGUUUACAUUAGGGUUCGGUUUUAAUCUUUUGUAUUCUAUGGGUU
rnacentral:lncRNA from 1 species